GCCCACACCAGUGCCAUCUGCUUGGCCGAUUUUGGCACUAGCACAUUUUUGCUUGUGUCUCUCCGCUCUGAGCAAUCAUGUGCAGUGCCAAUAUGGGAAAAGCAGGACCUGCAGCUGCGUCCGC
rnacentral:pre_miRNA from 8 species